UGUGCGUUCGUUUCAUCGGCCGGUGUGUCCCUGAGGAGAUCCAGCUCCGUGUGCUCCAAGGGGUUUGUGGGUAGCCCGGCGGUCUUCGUGAAGAAGACGAGUAGCCGUGCGGUUGUGCGUAGGGGGCUGUUCAGUUCGGCAGCCGAACCAGAGGUCACCGAUAAGGUUUACUUCGACAUUACCAUUGGAGGGAAGC
rnacentral:SRP_RNA from 1 species